rnacentral:rRNA from 1 species
GAUGAACGCUGGCGGCGUGCCUAAUACAUGCAAGUCGAACGAGGUGCUUUUUUGUAGCAAUACGGAGAGUAUCCUAGUGGCGAACGGGUGAGUAACGCGUUGGUGACCUACCCCAAAGUGUGGGAUAACAGUCCGAAAGGAUUGCUAAUACCGCAUGUGGUCUUCGGAUUGUAGAAACUGAUGACUAAAGGAGUAAUCCGCUUUGGGAAGGACCUGCGUCCCAUCAGCUAGUUGGUGAGGUAACGGCCCUCCAAGGCGACGACGGGUAGGGGACCUGAGAGGGUGGCCCCCCCACAAUGGAACUGAAACACGGUCCAUACACCUACGGUGGCAGCAGUAGGGAAUAUUGCACAAUGGGCGAAAGCCAGAUGCAGCAACGCCGCGUGUGCGAUGAAGGCCUUCGGGUCGUAAAGCACUUUUCUGGGAGAUGAGAAAGGACAGUAUCUCAGGAAUAAGUCUCGGCGAACUAGGUGCCAGCAGCCGCGGUAAAACGUAGGAGGCAAGCGUUAUCCGGAUUCACUGGGUGUAAAGCGCGUGCAGGCGGUUCGGUAAGUUGGGCGUGAAAACACCUGGCCUACUAGGAGAGGACGUUCAAUACUACCGGACUUUGAGAGUGGUAGAGGAAGAUGGAAUUCCCGGU